rnacentral:rRNA from 1 species
GAUGAACGCUGGCGGCGUGCCUAAUACAUGCAAGUCGAGCGAACGGACGAGAAGCUCGCUUCUCUGAUGUUAGCGGCGGACGGGUGAGUAACACGUGGAUAACCUACCUAUAAGACUGGGAUAACUUCGGGAAACCGGAGCUAAUACCGGAUAAUAUUUUGAACCGCAUGGUUCAAAAGUAAAAGACGGUCUUGCUGUCACUUAUAGAUGGAUCCGCGCUGCAUUAGCUAGUUGGUAAGGUAACGGCUUACCAAGGCAACGAUGCAUAGCCGACCUGAGAGGGUGAUCGGCCACACUGGAACUGAGACACGGUCCAGACUCCUACGGGAGGCAGCAGUAGGGAAUCUUCCGCAAUGGGCGAAAGCCUGACGGAGCAACGCCGCGUGAGUGAUGAAGGUCUUCGGAUCGUAAAACUCUGUUAUUAGGGAAGAACAUAUGUGUAAGUAACUGUGCACAUCUUGACGGUACCUAAUCAGAAAGCCACGGCUAACUACGUG